rnacentral:rRNA from 1 species
AGCGAACGCUGGCGGCAGGCUUAACACAUGCAAGUCGAGCGGGCACCUUCGGGUGUCAGCGGCAGACGGGUGAGUAACACGUGGGAACGUACCCUUCGGUUCGGAAUAACGCUGGGAAACUAGCGCUAAUACCGGAUACGCCCUUAUGGGGAAAGGUUUACUGCCGAAGGAUCGGCCCGCGUCUGAUUAGCUAGUUGGUGGGGUAACGGCCUACCAAGGCGACGAUCAGUAGCUGGUCUGAGAGGAUGAUCAGCCACACUGGGACUGAGACACGGCCCAGACUCCUACGGGAGGCAGCAGUGGGGAAUAUUGGACAAUGGGCGCAAGCCUGAUCCAGCCAUGCCGCGUGAGUGAUGAAGGCCUUAGGGUUGUAAAACUCUUUUGUCCGGGACGAUAAUGACGGUACCGGAAGAAUAAGCCCCGGCUAACCUCGUG